rnacentral:lncRNA from 1 species
UCCUCUCCUCUUCUUAGUUGCCCUCCACAUCCUCCCUCGAAAGAGCUCCUACUCCAUCGUGCCACCUUUGCCUCCUCCCUAGCCUCCCCACACCAUAGCACCUGCCACAAUCUGGCCUCCUUCUUUAAUAGCCACGAGCCUAGAAUCAGUUUUGGUAACCUCGCCUUUUCCAUCAGCACAAGCUCCACCAUCUAAGCAGUAUUGAUGUCCACAUGCUUGCCCUCAAUGAUGCAACUACCGCACCCAACUCCACCAACUCAAUCCCAUCCUCUCACUCUUCCAACAACAUUAAUGGCGCACUCCAUUCAUAGUUAUCCUCAUCAUUCGUGCUG